CUUUAACUAAUCUUUCACUUACCCUUUCUCCAAACUGAGCCACCUGAACUGUCCCCUGGACUGUGGUUUGGCCCCCUUCACUCUCCAUCCCUAACCCCCAUGACCUUGCAAUCCUGUCUUUUUUCCUCAUCUCCAUUGUCUCUGCUUCUUCCUCUCCACCUCUUGUUCCUCUUCCCAGUCCCCGCUUCACGCUCCCUCAUUCUCAUCGUUGGCUGGAUGCACUUGCGUGUGGUCUAACAUCCCAUCUUCAUGUCUCUUCCUGUACUGUGAGCUUGCAUUGGGGCCGAUUUGAUUGCUACUAUCCGGAGUGGUUGCAGAACCCCCAGCCUUCAUCUUUGCCAGCUUCUAGCUAGGAGCCUUGACCACACAUGCUCCAGUCCUCCAGGGCUCACCUAGGCAGUAAGCAAUAGAAGAAUGGGAUGUGAGAACCUUGAGGGUCAAGUUCAAAGUUAAGUCCCAUUGCACCCUUUGGAGUUUACUAUACCAGAUUGAAUGAACUCUAGACUUAGACCAAAUCCUUUUAUGGUGGCACAGUGAAGCUCGGAGGUGCAAGCUUUAGCGUUCUGGAAUACUGAAAGGCAUUAGUAUCACGGAGAUCCAUAGCUCUGUAACUUAGAUGUGAUAAUAGUCCCUUCAGAGGGUUUGGAGCC
rnacentral:lncRNA from 1 species